rnacentral:lncRNA from 1 species
AUUAUCAAGAUAUAGAGGGGACACGAUCUUUACCAUGGUACAUGGGGGUUGUCAACUGUAACCAAAGUGUUUGACCUUGACCUUUGACACAGGAAGUUGUAUAUACAUUAUGACACACCCUCUGUUGUUGGUUAAUAUACAUUUCAAGUAUAAAGUAUGAAAUUACAACGGUUUUCUGGAUAUAGAGCAGACACUUUGUUUUGGACGGAUGGACAAACUGAUCACUAUAGGGCAACAUGACAUUCGUCGGGGCCCUCAUAAUUAACAGAUUCGGUUGGCACCUAAAACUGGUACACACGUUUUAAUAGAGUUAUUUCACCCCUAUGAACCAUGCCACCUAAGAUCAGAAAAUAAAGGAUGAAAAGGGUACAUGUAAAGAGUGAAUAAGGAACACAUACGUAGUGAAUUAGUAAAAGGGUAUAAGUCUAGUACAGAAACUGGUACAUAUGCACUAACAUGGUUAUUUAAACUGCAUGAAACCACGAAACCAUGAAAAGAAAUAAAACGAAAUCAUUAAAAAGGGGCAACAUAUAGAAAGCAUAUGAGUAACAGUGUAUCAGUCGAGCGUGGAUACAGGGACAUAUGCUACAACAGUGUAAUUUCAACUCAUUCAAGCAUGAAAUUACACCAAAGACAGGAUAAAUAAUAAAAUUGAAUUAAUAGAAAGGGAGAACGUAUUUACUAUAAAACGAAAAUAAGGAACGAAC